rnacentral:lncRNA from 1 species
GGUCGCUUCUCGCAGGCGGCGCGCUUGCUGGGUCACAGUGAGGCGGCUCCGCGCAGGCGCAGCCGGGCGGGCGAGGAGCGGGGAAGCUGACUCAGGGCUGCGGCCGGGGUCCUGCGGGGUAGGAGCGCGAGGCCGGCCUGAGGGAGGAGGCCUAGCGACCCAUCCGGCGCCUCCCGCCCCGGGCACCCGCCCGCGGCCGCGCAUCCUGCGGGCCCCAGGAGGCCUCCAUCUCAAAACAACGUGUUUUUAGAGAACUCAAGGGCUGUGAAAAGAGCAGGACCUCACCAGCUGCACGGCGGUGGUGACUGGCUCCAUCUUGCUGUCCCUCCCAAUCACACAACAUCUCCCCUUGAAGGCUCUGCCCAGGCCCGGACUCCCACCUUUCAAGAUGUCUGGAUCAGUGCAGGACCUCCUCCUUGGCCACAUCGCUCUCCUUGGACUGGUUCAAGUGAUUCUCCCACCUCAGCCUCCCAAGUAGGAUUACAGUGUUGACUCACCUGUGGAGUGGUCUGAGCCUGAAUGCCCGGGGCUGUGGCCACCGAGUGAACGGGCUGUGCUAAGGGGAAUUGCCACCUUGGGAAACCUGUGUAGUUGCGGCUUUUCUGAUUAAGUAUCAAUAAAAGUCUGACCUUGUGAAAAAAGCAAACGUGAGUGGCCCUGCUUAUGUUUCACCUUGCGUUGCUCAGUGAUAGUUCUGCAAAGUCGCAGGAAACCUGGAAUCAUCUAAUUAUCGUGAGUGUUGGUUCCUUAUUUAAUAAUGUCUAGUUGAUUCAUUAACAUGGAAUUCAUGGCCAGUACCUCUGUCACUCAUGCCUGACUGAAGUUGAUCAGCACGUCUUUUUCUCCCUUAGGCACAUGACAGCCUUCUUGCAAUCAAGAAACUACGUGUGGCCAGGAUCUCAUCCACUAUCACAGUUUCAGCUUUCCCCAAACUGGAAUGUGUCUUUGCAGACGCCCAUCCUUAUUAAAGGGCAAAGACUUCUCAUACACCUAGGAUGGAUCUUAUAUUCUUGGCGGGACUGCAGAGAAGGUGCCGUGUCCUGAGUCCUCAUGUCAGGGCACAGGCUUCCAGCCAGUUCUACCUGGGUUAUGUUUAUCUCAAUUCCCUGGUGGUAUUGGUGUCUGCUGGGUUUUGCCAGAAUGAAGACACCGUGUUUUCAUUUGUCAGUUGAUUCGUAUUUUCCAGGAAGACAUUCUGAGAUUACAGCAUUGUCUUAGUCAAGGUGCUGCAGAAGGACAGAACUAAUAGGAUAUAUGUACAUAUGAAAGAAAGUUUAUGAAGAACUGGCUCACACCAUCACAAGGCAAAGUCCCAUGACAGGCCAUCUGCAAGCUGAGGAGCGAGGAAGCCAGCAGUGGCUCAGCCGGAGUCCAACAGCCUCAAACGGAAUCCAACAGUUCAGGCUUCAGUCUGUGGCCAAAUGCCCAGAGACCCCGGAAAGCUACUGGUGUUAGUCCCAGAGCCGGAAGGCCAAAGAACCUGGAGUGUGAUGUCCAAGGGCAGGAGGAAUGGACAGAAGCAUCCAGCAUGGGGUAAAGACGAAAGCCAGAAGACUCAGCAAGCUAGCUUACCUACUUUCUUCUGCCUGCCUUGUUCUAGCCGCGCUGGCAGCCGGUUGGAGGGUGCCCACCCCCACUGAGGGUGGAUCUUCCUCUCCUAGUCCACUGACUCAAAUUUCAGUCUCUCUGGGAGCACCAUCACACCAGAAACAAUACCAGCCAUCUAGCCACCCUUCAGUUCACCAUCACAACCAUUGUCUUAUUCAUGAAACUUCUGCAGACCCACCUUAACCUCCAUCGGUGACUUCUACCUGAAGCCCUCUGAUUGUUGCCCAGUGGUGCUUUUUAAAAUAAUUUCCAUAGUUUCUUCUACACCUUUAGUUGGCAUUCUACUGUAAAGGAGAGAUUUUAUUUUCUUACUCAUUUAUUUGUUAGUUUAUAGUCACCACCAUAUGGAUGCAGAGUUCUGUCUCAUUCACUGGGAAGUAUUCUAUUGCAGUCAUGAUUUAUUUUGAUGUUCACAUCCCAGAGUUGGUGAGUGAGCGCCCCUUCACGCUGGCUCCCGAGUGCUGACGUGUCCCCGUCCUUCUCUGCACUUUUCCUUACCUCCUGGCCUCAGAUAUUCCAGGGUCAUUUGUUCUCUCCCUGCUCCAACCCUGCAGUCAGCCAUCUCCCUAGGGACGUUGGUUCCUUUAUGGAAGGUGGCAUUUAGAAGCCAGGAUUUGGGCUGAGCACUGUGGCUCAUGCUUGUAAUCCCAGCACUUGGGGAGGCCGAAGUGGGCGGAUCGCUGGAGGCCAAGAGUCUGAGACCAGCCUGGCUAACAUGGUGAAACCCUUCCCCGUCUCUACUACAAAUAAAAAAUUAGCUGGGUGUGUUGGCACGUGCCUGUAAUCCCAGUUACUCAGGAGGCUGAAGCACCAGAAUCUCUUGAACCCAGGAGGCCGAGGUUGCAGUGAGCCAAGAUUGCACCACUGCACUACAGCUUGGGUGACAGCGCGAGACACCGUCUCAAAAAGGAUAAUAAUUUAAAAAACAGCAGGAUUUGGGUGAGCAGUGCGCUCAUUGCUUCUGGGCUCUCUCGGUGGACAUAGGCUAGGAAUGUAAGAUGUAUGUGCCUGUGUAUAUACACACGUCUGUAGCUAUGUCUAUGUUGCAUACAUGUGUUUUUCCAAAAACCAAAUCCAUAACCAUGCCUUCAGUUUCAGCCCAACACCUCCGGGCUCUUUCUAGCUUUCUACCUUUCAUGAUUGUGAAUACCUUCUCCAGCAGUGAGAAACCUGGCUCCUUUGUCCUCAGUGGAUUUUCUUAUUUGCUCAAUUUUUUUGUUUUUUGUUUUGUUUUUGUUUUUGAGACAGAGUCUUGUUCUGUCACCCAAGCUGGAGUGCAGUGGCAUAAUCUCGGCUUACCGCAACCUCUGCCUCCUGG